ACAGCCGUAGCUCAGCUCGUAGAGCAUCAAAUCGCCAAAUGGCAUUUGAGAUGCCUGUUCAAGUCAGGCCGGUUGUA